rnacentral:rRNA from 1 species
AAUCAAAACUUUCAACAACGGAUCUCUUGGCUUUGGCAUCGAUGAAGAACGCAGCGAAAUGCGAUAAGUAAUGUGAAUUGCAGAAUUCAGCGAAUCAUCGAAUCUUUGAACGCACAUUG